GUUUCCCUCUCGUUUCCCGCACAAGUUGAUUGGGGUGUUUAUCUCUACAUCACUGCCAUUUCCGUUUCGCGAGCAGGAAUUGUAAUUUCUCUAGCUCUCUGCUUCUUCUGGAUCUUAGUAUCAGCAAACGGAGUGAAUUUCGCCUUCAUAGCGCUGGUUAAUCCCCAAAUUUCUCGACUAUAUUCCUCGAAAUAUCCUUUGUGUUUUCUUGCUUAAAGAAGAGAGAAUAUCGGCACAUGUGGCUGGCAUCAUCGUUCUUACGUGUCUUAUCCAUUGUGUGGAUCACUGUCGAGCCAUGUGAUUUGAUGAACUUGAUAUUGGAUCUUCGUAGUAGUGGCUACUUAAGGAUUCAAGAUGGCUACCCGCCGGUCGAAUGAAUCCAGAGAAAUUUGUUGAGUAGAUAAUUGACCAUAGGUUAUGGUUGCUAGAUUCUAAAACAAUGGCACUCUGUAUUGCUAGUUUCAUUUCAUUAGAGCUGUUGAUGCCUCAAGCUGCAGAAGAAGCUUCGCAUGCCAAGUUAGAAGACAUGGAAACUGUAAAUUAGUGCGACAAUCUAUGGUUUAUUCUAUGUUUAGAUGUAUAUUAGAGAAAACACAGAGGCUCUAUGACUGACAAAUUGUUCCAGAUUGUCAAGAGGAAUAUCUAUCGUCCAGUAUGAUAUUGAAAUGGAAGAAACAUGUGCUAGAUGUUGCCAUGUUGGUGUCUUAAGUUAUGAUGAGAUGUUAAGCAAUGCGGUGUCAGGUAAAAUUGAAGGUUGGCAUGAGAAAGUUGAACGAUAGUUUUUAAGGAUUAAGACACUGCACCUUCAGGAGUAUUAGCUGAUCUGUAAUGUAGCAUUUCCUUUGGAUUAGGGACAGUAAGAUGAAUUGACAAUGUGGUUGAGAGCCAUUGCAUUUAAAUAUGUCAAAGACACAUAACAUGGGUAAACUUUUUCUUUGUUUUAGGGAGAAUGGAUUAAGCAGGAAAUAUAGUUUCAUUAGUUGAACAACUUUUUGCGCCUUGCUGUCCAGCUUGAACUAGGUUUUAGGGAUGAAGACAAGUUGGAGGUCAUUACUGUCAUGGAGAUGCCGAAAGAAGCUUAGUAUAUGAAAAUAAAAUGUGAUAAAUGUAAGAGAACUGAUUGAGAAUGAUUGAGUUUUAAGUGAUGAUAUGAAAAUCGAAGCCAGAGACGUAAUGAAUUUAUUAGGAGCCCACAAGUAGGAAACUGAGGAAAUGUUACUUAAGCAGACUACUGAAGGGAAUAUUGCAAUGAGAGCUUCCAUUUACACCAGCUAAGGCAGUGAUCGGGUUGUGCAAGUUGUCUGACAUAAUUAGGCAAAUGGACAUUGUUAAUGAUACAUUAUUCACUUUAUGCAGCAGAUAAAGUGUGUGACAGUGAUUAGUGUUUCCAAGGACAGACAGUUGCUUUCAGGUUUAUUAUGAUAUCACUCACGUAUGUGGACUUUGACGAGUGAAAAAGCUAGUUUGUAUUUUCAAAACUCAUUGACCAACUAACUUGCUCAAAUUAUUCAAAUAAUUUGUUGUUUUACCUUUAUACCAGUUCACCAUUAUUCCGUCAGCAGACAAUUUA